UUUUGUGUGACUCAGAUUCUUGAAGCACCAAAUGAGGAAGAAAUUUCACUACUUUCAGAGAUAUAUGGGCUCUGCAUUAAAGGAGGUAAGGAAGAACAAACAGCCUUAUUAUCCAGUGUGCAAGAGUUAGCAAAAGCAUUUUCUGGAUAUGAAGAUGAAGUACUCACGAAACGAGAAGAAUUACUUCAAUAUGUCCAAGCUUCAAUUUCAGGGCUGAAAGUAAAUGCGGAUCUCAUGAG